CAAUUUCCAUGUAAAGUUCUUUUAAUAAUAUACCUGACGAGUUUCUUCCCUUUUACUACCUGUAAGAAUUAUUUCUAGAAUUCAUUGAAAUCGAGUUCACUGUUAAUGUUCAAAAUGAAAUGUUCUUCGUUUUGUGUAAAAAAGACUUCAAAGUAAGCUCCAAACUAAUCAACAGCGUUACAACAGAAAAGAACAACAUGAACUCUUAUUCAGAAGAUAUUGUUACAAAUCGAAGUAAUAACUUUCAGAGAAUUUGAAGUGAGGAUUGAAGUAUAAUGUACAUUUUUUCAGUACCGUUCUACAAAAUCCAAUUUAUCCCCUUUGUUGAGAAACAGCUUCAGUUACUAACUUGGAAGAUCGUGUUCCAUUUGGUUCGACCUAUUAUUAAGCUUAGAAUUCCUCGAAAUAAGUGACUAGUCCCUCAAUAGCUCAUAAUGUUUUUAAGAAUACUAAUUGUUUUACUCCUCCAGGAUUUAGGAACUAACAAUUCACCACUCCAUUGUUGCUAAAUUCAAUUUCUCACUAAUUUUAUAAUUUAAGAUAUCAUUUCUAAUUGUCUAAUUUAUAGUUUUAUUCAAUAA
rnacentral:lncRNA from 1 species